ACGAAGGACCCGAGCGUUAUCCGGAUUUAUUGGGUUUAAAGGGUGCGUAGGCGGACUUUCAAGUCAGUGGUGAAAGCCCAUCGCUCAACGAUGGAAUCGCCAUUGAUACUGUUGGUCUUGAGUACGGUUGAAGUGGGCGGAAUGUGUCAUGUAGCGGUGAAAUGCUUAGAUAUGACACAGAACACCUAUUGCGAAGGCAGCUCGCUAAGCCGUAACUGACGCUGAGGCACGAAAGUGUGGGUAGCAAACAGGA
rnacentral:rRNA from 1 species